GUCUCCUCUCGCCGGCCGCUGCGCUCGGCGGCGCGGAAUAGAAUGAACUGUAACAAAACAAGCCGAGCCUUUGUAUCUGCUUAAAGGGGACGCAGGCACUUCCCUCCUGUCCCCCCCGCCCCCGCUCAGCUACCGCGUCUCCAGGGCUCCCAGCAACUGGCUGGAAGGGCUUCCCUCACCCUCAGAAACUGCCCGCCAGCGAGGAAAGGCGAGCCAGGCGCGAGGCAAAGAGGAGACACCGCAUUUCUAAGAGGCAAGAAAGAAAGGAAGGAAGGAAAAAAAAUAAUCCAAGCGGCGCAGAGUGGACUCUGGUCCCAGAGAGAGCACGGUCGGGCGCCGGAACGUGGACCGAGAAGCACCGGAAUGCAAACAAAGCUCGCGGGCGCCUGUGCAGGGCUCGCGGGGAAGCCCAGCAAGUUUGUUUUAUGAUGGCUUGAGUGAGCGAGUGUGUGCUAGGGAGCAAGGCUGCCAAGUUUCUCUCUCCCGCUGCGUUGUUUGGGGGGAGAUGUCUCUCCCAUGAACCAGCAGGGGCUUGGGGGCUUGUGCUGUGGGGGGCACCUGUCUCUCAUUUUAUCAUUAUUUUUUUUGGCGGGGGUAGGAGGGGUGUAACUCAUCAUGUCGAAAGUGAUCCAGAAGAAGAACCACUGGACUAGCAGGGUUCACGAAUGCACCGUGAAGCGGGGACCCCAGGGAGAGCUGGGGGUGACGGUGCUGGGGGGCGCGGAGAAUGGAGAGUUUCCCUAUGUCGGAGCGGUGACGGCGACCGAGGCGUCGGGGCUUCCCGGCGGCGGCGAGGGCCCUCGGCUGGGCGAGGGUGAGUUGCUUCUGGAGGUGCAGGGGAUCCGGGUGUCCGGCUUGCCCCGCUAUGACGUACUGGGAGUCAUCGACAGCUGCAAGGAGGCCGUCACCUUCAAAGCCGUCAGACAAGGUAAGUCGGGACGCGCCUCCUGGAGGCACCCCCAGAAUAGGAAACCGGCCUGAGGAGGCUCCCCCCGCCCCGCUUCCGAUUUCCCGCUUUUCUCCUGCGAACGCGGCAUAGGGGCGAUGUUGAGGCCGUGUGCCCAGUGAUGGUGAAAUACACCAAGUUGUUGAGAGGUUGUGGGUUGUUUGCCCACCUGCGUUGGGAAGAGGGGUUUGGGUUAGCUCGGGGAAUCGCAGAGAUUUUUCCCUGGCCCGGUUUGCUAACCUGUUAUCUCCGCCACCAAGGGCAGCAGUGGCCUGCCUGCACCGGGAGGAGAGUUGGGGAACUGAGGCAGGGGCAAAGUGGACGCUCUCCUGGCUCCCUGGGCGAGUGUUGCAGCGUGCGCAGCUAACGCGUUCUUUGAUCUCCUAGCUGUUUUCAGAUCUGGAGAAUGGGUAUGAAGGAGGUCUUUGAUUGUUGGACCUACUUAAUCAGAAAAUCAGCAUCACCCCGUGACCGGCCAGGUGGGCUAGGGCAUCACCACCUUUCAGUCCCAAAGCCUGCAGCCUGAAGAUCUUGCAUUCACCCCACAGCUGGAUGACGCAUGUGUCUCUACCGUGUGGCCUGGCCCCAGACUUGUGGGUGGCGCUGGGGGGAGAGGAUAGAGAGGGUAUUUCAGCGCCGUUCAAGCCCAAGUUUAUACUGCCACCAGCGUCACCACCAUCCCCAUCACUGCAACCAUCGUCAUCAUCCCUGUGAAGAUGAUUAUAGCUGCUAUUUCUUGUUCGCUUAUUAUGUGUCAGGUUCUGUGUAAAAUGCUUUCCUUGCACUCUUUUGUUCUGAUGCGCAACAAUUCUGAGAGGGAGUUUUUCUUAAAAACCCCAUGUUUUGGAUAAGGAAGCUGGGACUGACGUUGUUUCAUUUACUGAUGUUGGUUCAGUUACUUGCCCAAGGUCACACAGAUGCCAAGAGUGAGGGUUUGAAACUCACUGUGCGGGAGACCUGAGGGGUGCA